rnacentral:rRNA from 1 species
CCUACGGGUGGCAGCAGUGGGGAAUAUUGCGCAAUGGGCGAAAGCCUGACGCAGCCAUGCCGCGUGUGUGAAGAAGGCCUUCGGGUUGUAAAGCACUUUUAGUGGGGAGGAAAGGGCGCUGGCUAAUAUCCAGCGCAGUUGACGCUACCCACAGAAAAAGCACCGGCUAAUUCCGUGCCAGCAGCCGCGGUAAUACGGAAGGUGCAAGCGUUAAUCGGAAUUACUGGGCGUAAAGCGCGCGUAGGCGGCUUGGUAAGUCGGAUGUGAAAGCCCCGGGCUCAACCUGGGAACUGCAUUCGAUACUGCCGGGCUGGAGUACGAGAGAGGGGGGUGGAAUUCCAGGUGUAGCGGUGAAAUGCGUAGAGAUCUGGAGGAACAUCGGUGGCGAAGGCGGCCCCCUGGUUCGAUACUGACGCUGAGGUGCGAAAGCGUGGGGAGCAAACAGGAUUAGAUACCCCAGUAGUC